rnacentral:rRNA from 1 species
GAUGGUUGGACAAGAAAUAAUCUGUCUUAAAUUAACAUAUUGAAUUUAACUUUUGAGUGAAAAGGCUUAAAUAAUCUGAAGGGACGAUAAGACCCUAUAAAACUUUAUAUUUAUAAGGUAGUAAUUAGUUUUAUUUAAUGGUAUUAUUUUUGGAGUAUUUGGUUGGGGUGACAGGGAUAAAAUACACAAUAACUGUCCUUUUUUUUUUCAGUUAUAUUUGAUUUAAUGAUCCUAAAAGGGAUUGAAAAUUAAGUUACUUUAGGGAUAACAGCGUAAUUUUCUUUAAAAGUUCUUAUCGACAAAAAAGUUUGCGACCUCGAUGUUGAAUUAAAAGUUCUUUAUAAAGUAAAAAUUAUAAUAAAAGGUCUGUUCGACCUUUAAAAUUUUACAUGAUUU